rnacentral:rRNA from 1 species
UGGGGAAUAUUGCACAAUGGGGGAAACCCUGAUGCAGCGACGCCGCGUGAGCGAAGAAGGCUUUCGAGUCGUAAAGCUCUGUCCUAUGAGAAGAUAAUGACGGUAUCAUAGGAGGAAGCCCUGGCUAAAUACGUGCCAGCAGCCGCGGUAAUACGUAUGGGGCGAGCGUUGUCCGGAAUUAUUGGGCGUAAAGAGCUCGUAGGCGGUUUGUCGCGUCUGCUGUGAAAGACCGGGGCUUAACUCCGGGGCUGCAGUGGGUACGGGCAGGCUGGAGUGCGGUAGGGGUAACCGGAAUUCCUGGUGUAGCGGUGGAAUGCGCAGAUAUCAGGAGGAACACCGAUGGCGAAGGCAGGUUACUGGGCCGUUACUGACGCUGAGGAGCGAAAGCAUGGGGAGCGAACAGG